rnacentral:rRNA from 1 species
GACGAACGCUGGCGGCGUGCUUAACACAUGCAAGUCGAACGGAAAGGCCCUGCUUUUGUGGGGUGCUCGAGUGGCGAACGGGUGAGUAACACGUGAGUAACCUGCCCUUGACUUUGGGAUAACUUCAGGAAACUGGGGCUAAUACCGGAUAGGAUCUCCUGCUGCAUGGUGGGGGUUGGAAAGUUUCGGCGGUUGGGGAUGGACUCGCGGCUUAUCAGCUUGUUGGUGGGGUAGUGGCUUACCAAGGCUUUGACGGGUAGGCGGCCUGAGAGGGUGACCGGGCACAUUGGGACUGCGGUACGGACCAGAAUGCUACGGGCGGCAGUGGUGGGAAACAUUGCGCAAUGGGCGGGAGCGUGAUGCAGAAACGCCGCGUGCGGGAUGACGGCUUUCGGGUUGUAAACCGAUUUCGCCUGUGACGAAGAGUGCGUGACGGUACUGGGUCAAGAAGCACCGGCUAACUACGUG